rnacentral:rRNA from 1 species
ACUGCUCAGUAACACGUGGAUAACCUGCCCUUGGGUCCGGGAUAACCCCGGGAAACUGGGACUAAUACCGGAUAGAUCAAAGAUACUGGAAUGUUCUCUGGUCCAAAACUCCGGUGCCCAAGGAUGGGUCUGCGGCCUAUCAGGUUGUAGUGGGUGUAACGUACCUACUAGCCUGCGACGGGUAAGGGUUGUGAGAGCAAGAUCCCUGAGAUGGAUUCUGAGACAUGAAUCCAGGCCCUACGGGGUGCAGCAGGCGCGAAAACUUUACACUGCGGGAAACCGCGAUAAGGGGACCCCGAGUGCCAGCACCUAGUGCUGGCUGUCCCGCUGUCCAAACAACAGUGGUUAGCAAGGGCCGGGCAAGACCGGUGCCAGCCGCCGCGGUAACACCGGCGGCCCGAGUGGUAGCCGCUAUUAUUGGGUUUAAAGGGCCCGUAGCCGGCCUAUUAAGUCUCUUGGGAAAUCUGGCGGCUUAAUCGUCAGGCGUCCAAGAGAUACUGGUAGGCUUGGGACCGGGAGAGGUGGGAGGUACUCCAGGGGUAGGGGUGAAAUCUCGUAAUCCUUGGGGGACCACCGAUGGCGAAGGCAUCCCACCAGAACGGGUCCGACGGUGAGGGACGAAAGCUGGGGGCACGAACCGGAUUAGAUACCCGGGUAGUCCCAGCUGUAAACGAUGCUCGCUAGGUGUCAGGUGCGGUGCGACCGCAUCUGGUGCCGCAGUGAAAACUUGAAGCGAGUCACCUGGGAAGUACGGUCGCAAGGCUGAAACUUAAAGGAAUUGGCGGGGGAGCAC